CCUUUCGUACGUUAGUCGGCGGACGUGGUGAGUAACACGUGGGUAACCUACCUAUAAGACUGGGAUAACUUCGGGAAACCGGAGCUAAUACCGGAUAAUAUUUCGAACCGCAUGGUUCGAUAGUGAAAGGUGGUUUUGCUAUCACUUAUAGAUGGACCCGCGCCGUAUUAGCUAGUUGGUAAGGUAACGGCUUACCAAGGCGACGAUACGUAGCCGACCUGAGAGGGUGAUCGGCCACACUGGAACUGAGACACGGUCCAGACUCCUACGGGAGGCAGCAGCC
rnacentral:rRNA from 1 species